rnacentral:rRNA from 1 species
GUGAACCUGCGGAAGGAUCAUUACAGAAAUAUGAAAGCGGGCUGGAACCUCUUGGGGUUACAGCCUUGCUGAAUUAUUCACCCGUGUCUUUUGCGUACUUCUUGUUUCCUUGGUGGGUUCGCCCACCACUAGGACAAACCAUUAAACCUUUUGUAAUUGCAAUCAGCGUCAGUAACAAAUUAAUAAUUACAACUUUCAACAACGGAUCUCUUGGUUCUGGCAUCGAUGAAGAACGCAGCGAAAUGCGAUAAGUAGUGUGAAUUGCAGAAUUCAGUGAAUCAUGGAAUCUUUGAACGCACAUUGCGCCCUUUGGUAUUCCAAAGGGCAUGCCUGUUCGAGCGUCAUUUGUACCCUCAAGCUUUGCUUGGUGUUGGGCGUCUUGUCUCCAGUUCGCUGGAGACUCGCCUUAAAGUAAUUGGCAGCCGGCCUACUGGUUUCGGAGCGCAGCACAAGUCGCGCUCUCUACCAGCGAAGGUCAAGCAUCCAUAAAGCCUUUUUUCAACUUUUGACCUCGGAUCAGGUAGGGAUACCCGCUGAACUUAAGCAUAUCAAUAAGCGGAGGAAAAGAAACCAACAGGGAUUGCCCUAGUAACGGCGAGUGAAGCGGCAACAGCUCAAAUUUGAAAUCUGGCUCUUUUAGAGUCCGAGUUGUAAUUUGCAGAG